AAAAUAUGGUAUGGUAAAUGAGUGACUUAUCCACCAGAGUUCAAUGAAGUGGAUGCAAGAAAUUAAAGGCCAAUCAUGGGCCUGCCUUCAAUAAUGAGAAAACACUUCCUUUAUAGGUCAUUCAUUAAAGAUCUCAACAUAUAAAGAUUUAAACAAUCCAAUUUAGUUCAACAUGUUCAAAGGCAAUAACAAUUAAUAAAAAAAAAUCAGGCCUAAUAUAAAAUAUUGUUUUGUUUCUCCAAUCCCUGACCGACCCUGCAAAAAUGGC
rnacentral:lncRNA from 1 species